AGUGAACGCUGGCGGUAGGCCUAACACAUGCAAGUCGAACGGCAGCACAGUAAGAGCUUGCUCUUACGGGUGGCGAGUGGCGGACGGGUGAGGAAUACAUCGGAAUCUACUUUUUCGUGGGGGAUAACGUAGGGAAACUUACGCUAAUACCGCAUACGACCUACGGGUGAAAGCAGGGGAUCUUCGGACCUUGCGCGAUUGAAUGAGCCGAUGUCGGAUUAGCUAGUUGGCGGGGUAAAGGCCCACCAAGGCGACGAUCCGUAGCUGGUCUGAGAGGAGGAUCAGCCACACUGGAACUGAGACACGGUCCAGACUCCUACGGGAGGCAGCAGUGGGGAAUAUUGGACAGUGGGCGCAAGCCUGAUCCAGCCAGACCGCGUGGGUGAAGAAGGCCUUCGGGUUGUAAAGCCCUUUUGUUGGGAAAGAAAAGCAGCAGGUUAAUACCCAGCUGUUCUGACGGUACCCAAAGAAUAAGCACCGGCUAACUUCGUG
rnacentral:rRNA from 1 species